UGCAGGAGCUGUGUCACUGCCCCUCCAUCAGAGUUCUGGACCUGUCAAAUAACCACCUCCACAACCCAGAAAUCUUCACUGUACUGGAGAAGAUGCCCAAUCUGUGAGUGUUAAACCUGAAGGGUAACGAUAUCAUCUGGAGAAUUCCCAACUACAGGAAGUCGCUAAUCCUUCGUCUGAAGGAGCUGACGUCCCUGGACGACCAUCCUGUGACUCCUGAGGAGAGGGCCUGUGCUGAGGCUUGGGCCGUGGGAGGUUCGGAAGGAGAAGGUAAGGAAAGGGAAUUAUGGAAAACGAGCGAGAUUGAGGAGGCUGAGGACGCCGUGAGACUCACGCAUGAAAUCGUACUGGAGCUGAGACGAGCUCAAGAGCAGAGAGAACACGAGAAGAACGGCAUGCACUGCUACAAAUAAAUUCCUCACGUAUUUCCUUUUACAUUCUUUUUCAUUCUCGUUUCUAAGCAUUUUUUCUUCCGGCCCACUUUAGCAAGAACGUACUGGUAAAGUGGGACAGGGAAUUACUUCAUUAAUACACUCACAGUCCACUUUGUUAGGAUUUUUUUUUAAAAAUCACUUGGUCUUUUUCCAGUCUCCAUUCCGUCCGGUUUGGGUGAGUCUGUGCCCAUGAGAGAGUCAGAUUCCUGUUCUUGUUGAAUGAAUUUUAACCCACUCUUCCUUGCAGAAUGCUUCUAGAUCGAAGAUAUUUUUAAGAUUUGCUUAUAUAUUUUCAAAGUUGAAGUCAGGGGACUGU